GACCACCCAGAGCUCAUCGCCGACAAGGUAGCUGCUGUACAUGUCAACCACAUUGUCAUGGUGGUAAUCCCGCAUGAUCACGACCUGGGGAAACGGGAAAUAUACUUUUGACUUGUGAAGAUGAAGUUGCUUUUUGUUCUCUUGUGGCCACAACUACAAUUCAGCAUUAUCAGAAUCCACCCUUAACAGCUGGCAUAUGACAUAAAGAAGAAGCCUGCCUGCACCAAGGGGACAAUUUCCAGGCAAAGAUGGAAUGCAGAGCUCUUUGCUGAAAGCUAACCAUCUUCAAAAUAGGCCAUGAGACAAAAAGGUGCUGUUGUCUUUCACGGCUGCUGGUAAGAGGUACAGACUCUUAAGCAAUGGUUGAGGAACAACUAGUAUCACAAGAGACAAUGUUUUGAAUGAAACUCAAGGCAUACUCAUCAGAGAAUGAACUGUUCACUUCAAGUGAGGGGACAUGUAGUCUUCCCUCAGAGGACAAAUAGCUGACUCUGUGAAGGAGAAAUGCAUGGGUGACCCCAUUUGGGGCCACCAAGGUGCUGAACCAUUGCCUUCUGUUGGAUCUUAACCCACAUGCGGGGUUCCAUGAUGAGGGGAAAAGAGUAACGUUGGAGUUGAAAAGCCUGGCAGACACCAUGUUCGACUGAGUGAUCAGAGUGAGCGCCGCCA